UCUUUCCAUCCCCCUCACAGGUCACACGGGUGGGGGUGGUGGCAGAAACGUCGUGUGUGGUUGAAGUGGGCGGUCAAGAAUUGCGGUCCACUACCAAGCUGCGGGUGCGGCCAAGAACCUCCUCCUCCUACCUCUCCAGCUAUUUCUCUGCCGCAGGUAUGAUCAGUCGUCCCACCACCCAACUCAUGAUCCUCAGCGCCCUCCUACUGCUGCGGUAGGGCGCCUGACGUGGAGUAGAACUGGAAUAAACAGCCGCAGGAGAGACAGCCGCAAGAGACAGCGGUAGGAGAGACAGCCGCAAGAGACAGCCGUUGGAGAAACAGAAGCCAUGAUAGGACAAGCAAUACAGCCGCAGGAGAGACAGGAGCCGUGAUAGGAUAAGCAAUACAGCCGCAGGAGAGACAGGAGCCGUGAUAGGAUAAGCAAUACAGCCGCAGGAGAGACAGGAGCCGUGAUAGGACAAGCAAUACAGACGCAGGAGAGACAGAAGCCUCUAUCUGCCUGUUACACCAAUUGUGAAGAUUGGUGGCAGUGGUGGCAUUCUACCUUCACAGGCGUCAUCAGAAAACAACCACACUAACCACAAGCACACCAUCCACAACCACACCAACCACAACCACAGCAUCCACAACCACACCAACCACAACCACAGCAUCCACAACCACACCAAUCGCACCCACAGCAUCCUCAACCACACCAACAACCACCACAAGGACACCACACCAUCAGAGCAAAAAAGGGUAAGUAUCUACAAGAAGAAGCUGGUCUUCCACUCUCUUCCUGACAGCCGCCGCAACACCACAGACGAGGAACUAAUACCCAGCACCAUAAAGGAACUCUCUUCUUGUCAAUAAACGCUUCUUCUGUGUGUGUGUGUAGUGAAGCUUACCGCCACGAUCCAUCUGAUACCUCGUGCUAGCGAUGUGUAAGGACAGACCGAAGUUACCCUAGCCACCUUCCUGACCUUUCAGAAGAAACUACGUAUUCACAGCUGAUAAAAUUGUUUCUAAUUGUUUCUUUAGUCUACAGAAGAAGCUAGCUUUUUUUUUUUUUUUUUGUAGCCGCUGUUAAAUCUGUUCUUGAUGACUUCCACCGCUGGGAUCACUCACAGAAGGAAGGGGAUCUCUGUAGCCUGUGACUUGUGGCAGAAGAGCGUGAUCAAAGUCCUCGGAUUCAGGAACUUACACACACACACACGUAAAUAGAAGUCAUUCUUUCUUCUUUAUGCUUACUAUUCUAUUCCAUUACUUCUAUUAUUUCUUCAUCUUGCUUUUCUUGACCUUCAACUCUCUCUUGUCUUAUUUCUUCUUCAUUUCUUCCAUCUUGGUUCCUGUUAUUCGUCUGUUCUUCUCAGUGAACGCAAUAAACAGUAAACACAAUAAAACCUGAUAACUGUGUGAGAUUCUGAAACAAAAUGAUAAAGAGAAAGGAAAAAUAAUCUCUUAUUCCUAAAUGUGUGAUAAUAAUAUAAAUAAUUCUGUUUAUAUAUCAAUGGAAACAAAAUCAGGCGUCUUUACUAAGCGCAAGUGAGCGACGUCUUAGAUCAAGUUGUAUAAUAGAAAUUGUUGUUAUAAUUAAGAGAUAUUUGUUGUUGUAAAUAAGAGUACUGGUGGAUAUGCUGUACGUAUAUAAAACACUACCAGGAAUGUUUAUAAGCCAAAGAAACUGUCUCAAAUAAGAAAUCGUAGACACUUGAAGCUAUGGUCUCAAAUAUGGCAUAGCAUCCUAGUACGAUCUCUGUACUGUGUAAAAUCUGUAUCAUAAUAGUACGUAAUUAUGUGAGAUAUUUAUGUAUGAAUAUUUUAUGAUCAAUUUUAUAAGUUUCUGACUACGUUUGACUAUUGUACCCAGUUGGAGAUGUCCUAGAGUGGUUAAAAUAUGAGGGAGUGUUCGCGGGCAUUCUCAAAUCAACCUCAUCUCAUUUUGUUCGUAUAUAUAUAUAUAUCUGUAAAGUGACUCAAAAUUUAUAGAUAAAACCUCCUUUUAUUUUAUAUUUAGAAAUGUUAAUUAUUAAGGACACAGAGUUCGUAAAUAAACAGUUAAAAAUAUAA